rnacentral:misc_RNA from 1 species
CGAAAUGCGAUAAGUAAUGUGAAUUGCAGAAUUCAGUGAAUCAUCGAAUCUUUGAACGCACAUUGCGCCCGCCAGCACUCUGGCGGGCAUGUCUGUUCGAGCGUCAUUUCAACCCUCAGAACCCCUUGCGGGAUCUGGCGUUGGGGAUUGGCAUCCAGCCAGCCCCGAAAUCUAGUGGCGGUCCCUCCGCGACCUCCCCUGUGCAGUAGCGAUACCUCGCAGCGGGACAGCGGUCUGACCACGCCGUAAAACCCCCAACUUCUCAAGGUUGACCUCGAAUCAGGUAGGAAUACCCGCUGAACUUAAGC